rnacentral:rRNA from 1 species
UACGUAGGGUGCGAGCGUUGUCCGGAAUUACUGGGCGUAAAGAGCUCGUAGGUGGUUUGUCGCGUUGUUCGUGAAAACCGGGGGGCUUAACUCUCGGCGUGCGGGCGAUACGGGGCAGACUGGAGUACUGGCAGGGGGAGACUGGAAUUCCUGGUGUAGCGGUGAAAUGCGCAGAUAUCAGGAGGAACACCGGUGGCGAAGGCGGGUCUCGUGGACAGUUCCGUGACGCUGAGGCACGAAGGUCAGGGGAGCAAACGGG